GGAGGAACACCAGUGGCGAAGGCGACUUUCUGGUCUGUAACUGACACUGAGGCGCGAAAGCGUGGGGAGCAAACAGGAUUAGAUACCCUGGUAGUCCACGCCGUAAACGAUGAGUGCUAAGUGUUAGAGGGUUUCCGCCCUUUAGUGCUGCAGCUAACGCAUUAAGCAUUCCGCCUGGGGAGUACGGCCGCAAGGCUGAAACUCAAGGGAAUUGACGGGGGCCCGCACAAGCGGUGGAGCAUGUGGUUAAAUUGGAAGCAACGCGAAGAACCUUACCAGGUCUUGACAUCCUCUGACAACCCUAGAGAUAGGGCUUUCCCCUUCGGGGGACAGAGUGACAGGUGGUGCAUGGUUGUCGUCAGCUCGUGUCGUGAGAUGUUGGGUUAAGUCCCGCAACGAGCGCAACCCUUGAUAUUAGUUGCCAGCAUUCAGUUGGGCACUAUAAGGUGACUGCCGGUGACAAACCGGAGGAAGGGGGGGAAGAUGUCAAAUCCUCAUGCCCUUUGUGACGUGGGAUACACACGUGAUACAAUGGAUGGUACAAAGGGGUGCAAACCUGAGAAGGUAAGAGAAUCCCAUAAAGCCAUUUUCAGUUGGGAUUCUAGGUUGCAAUUCGCUUCCAGGAAUCCGGAAUCGUUAGUAAUCGGGGAUCACCAUGCCGCGGUGAAUACGUUCCCGGUCCUGGUCCACACCGCCCGUCCCACCAGGGGAGUAGUACCACCGGAAGUCGUUGAGGUAACCGCCAUGAGCCA
rnacentral:rRNA from 2 species